rnacentral:lncRNA from 1 species
UCCCAUAUAAAAUUGAUAAAUUUCCAGUAAAACCUUCUAAUUAUACUAUCUAAACACGUUAGAAAACAGAACUAGCAGUGAGUUGCUAGUGAUAAAGAGAGAAGGAACAUGCCAAAAGAUUGGCAUCUCAUUUUCAGACACCUGUGACUAGAUUUUUCAGCAAAACUACAUGGUUAUGUGACCUUUCAUGUACUCACUCCUCUGCAUUCUAAGAGAGCAGUAAAUGCAUAUAUAUAGUACAAGUUCCUCCAAAUAGGUAAGCAGGCAAUGCAAGAUGAGUAACCAUUGACCAUCUAGGAAAUAUUCAGUUUGCAUGACUCAACAUGCACAGGAACUCCGUGGAAGACACGGAUGCAAUUCUCUGGAAUACUGUUGAGUGUUAACUCAAUUGUACUGACUUCUCAUUAGAGAUCAUUUGCUUGGCCACAUCAUGAGAAAGUGGAAAACCUAACUAAAGCAGCAGGGUGCUGCUCAGCAAGGAGAAGCACAAGAGGGGGAGGGAACACCUGGCAAACUGCAGCUCCAAAGCAUCAGGGUGCUAAAGGGGAGCAGAGGCAAACUGUGUGUAAGUUGACAACACUGUGCUGUUACAAAAAAAGAUAAACUAUGCAUUAGGAGGUGUAAAAUAAAAUAGGCUGUGAGCCAGGACACCUCCCAGUCCACACCCUGUAGGAAAAGCUUCACAAAAUGGGGACAACUGAAAAAAGUAAGGAAAAUUGUGUAGGGGUAGGUGAAGUUUAGCAUACAACAGCAGCUUGGAAAAAGAAAACUAGAGACAGACGACUUCUUUUACCUAAAAGUGCUACAAACUGAGGAAAACCUCACCGUGAACACUCCAAAAAGGUGAAGUAAUAAGACCGAAGCAAUGAGCCAGUAAACCUCGGAGCUCCCUUCUCUGAACCCUCGGCUGUCCAGGCACAGCUGAAGGGCCGGGAAACGGACGUGGGGAACUCCUCGUCUCCUUUCAUUACCACACUGAGAGGGCAGCGUUUGGCCUUGCGAACCAAACUUCUUGGUUCCGAGUUCCGUCGGACGGCCGCACCAGCCGGGCAGUGACAAGCAGGGAGCACCGGCACCCCGGCGCCGAGGGAGCGGGGAGAGGCGAUAACCCUCCCCCGGGAACGAGGCCAAGAAAGCCGGCCACACUUCCCGAAGCAGGGAGGAAAUACCUCAGGCUCUCCUCACCCGUUCUCCGCGGGCUGCGGGAAGCACCGCCCCGCCGGGAAAAGGAGGGGCUGCCCGGGCCGUCCGGCGCCGACACCCCAGCCCGCACCGAGCGGGGAGGCCGGCGCGGUGAGGUUGCCGGGGGGGACGUGCCUCCCCCGGUUCCUGAGGGAGCUGCCGGGCUGCAGAUGAAUAACAGGAAUUUCUUUUUCCUCU